ACUGUGUGGAGUACUUCUACACGGAUUAAAUAAUCUGUUUCAUGCUGUGGAUUCCAGUUAAAGCUGAAGAUUUACACUAAAUGGAUCCUGAGAGGAAGCCCGGCUCUCCGCCUGCCGCCGCCGCCGCCGCCAUGAGCCUCGCUGCUGUAAGAGGGCGACAGAUUUGUGAUUAAACGGCCACUUUGUCACGCCAGAGGGACAUAAUGCAUCAACACAGAUCGCCCAACCCGCAAAUCUUUAGCUGCAGCCCAUUAGUAAUCCUCCGCCACCGUCGGUCUGAUGUUUAUUAUUUCCCUGCAGAAGGACGGAUAAUUUAUGAGGGGAAACCUCGCCGUCUACCUGCAGGUUUCAAACAGCAAGCAGGUCAGAGCUGAUAUUAAAGCCAUCAGAACCAAAUGCGCCAAAGUGACUCCGGCAGCGCAAACUAAAGCCCUGCUCCUGUUCCCUCUCCGUCUCUUUUCCAAAGGAACUCUCAAAGCUCUCUCAGCCGCAGCUCCUUCAUCUUAUCGUUGUCGAGCGUGUUGUUGCCCGAGGCGUGAGCUUCCCUCUCCGCCUGUUUCUGCUGGAAGACGAGUCGAGGCGCAGGAUCACAGUUUCUGUCGUGGCGUUUCAGAUCAGCCAACAGCAAGCAGAGACUUCACCUGCUGCAGGGUCUCAUGUUUGUUUUAUGACCGGCAUCCAGCUACCAGGUGCACGGGUGUUUAAAGACAGCAGAGUGGAACUGACAAAGGCAGAGCUAUCUGGAAAUCCGGCCCUCGGAUUAAAACCAUCACACCUGAGCGCAGAGGCAGAGAGUCUGUGUUAACUCGGUUUUAAUGCUUUCUGUUUAAUCUGGGUGGCAGCAGCCUCUCACCUUCAUCUGUCUCCUGUGAAGUUCCUCUUUAAAAUAUUCAGAAAGUGAGCCGAGGCAGGCACACGUCUGUGUUUAAACUUUAAAACCGGAGACUCUCAGCGAGAUGUCAGCGAAACUUAAGCGAGAGGAGCCGCUGCUUUGAGGCUCAGAUUCAUCGAGCCGAAUGUGAAUUUUAUGACUUAAUGUUAAAAGAGAGAAGCGCUGUGAUGGAAAAUGUCACUUAUUGACAGAGACUGGUGUGAAUGUGUGUGUUCUCUGGAAAACAUCUGUUUCUGAGAGGAGACCUGGAGACGCCGCCUGUCACAGACAAACUUUAGAAACACUGACGGCUCCUUUAAAGGACCGCUCGGCUGGUAACUGUAUUAUUUACAUCGAUGCUGAUCAUUCUCCAGGCCGGGUUUUAGAUCAGACUGUCGGAUAGGUAUCACAGUCAAUAUUAAGUCACCUUUACUUUAUUCUAAAGUCUCCUUCGUGGUGUGUUCAAGGACACUCCGUGAACUGAUACUGAACUGAGUCUCUGGAAGCCAAAAGACAAGCGGAGACGGACACAGUUAAAAAGUGAUUGCUUGUUGUUUCUGACUAUCAAAGAUGCAACGUUGGAGGAAAACUCUCUCUGUAGGUGCAAAAAUACAGAUAUUCCGGGAAUUUCUGGUCUUUGAAGGUCUCAUAUUAUGCUGAUUUGUCUACUAGAAAAUGUUUACAUGCUUUAAUGUUUAAGAAAACUCUGAAUACUCUGAAUAUAUUUGUCGUUUCUGUCUCCCUGCUACGUGGGCCACAAAUGUUAUGUCCGAUUGUAGAGUGCUUGUAGACGUGGCCGCACAAUAGAUUUGCAGACAUGUAACAACCAAUAAAGACAAUAAUCAGUG